rnacentral:rRNA from 1 species
GACGAACCGUGCGAACGUUGUUCGGAAUCACUGGGCUUAAAGGGCGCGUAGGCGGCUUGCCAAGUCAGUGGUGAAAUCCCACAGCUUAACUGUGGAAGUGCCUUUGAUACUGGCGAGCUCGAGGGAGGUAGGGGUAUGUGGAACUUCUGGUGGAGCGGUGAAAUGCGUUGAUAUCAGAAGGAACGCCGGUGGCGAAAGCGACGCACUGGACCUCUUCUGACGCUGAGGCGCGAAAGCUAGGGGAGCAAACGGG